CCUCAUCUCAGCCCCUCAUUGCACCAAUAAGGAAGUAGGUCCCAGCGAAAAGAGGCGGCAGGGGCGGAACACACGAGCGACAGAGCUACUGAUCAGUCCUUGAAAGAUGGGAAAGAGCACUGAUAAUCGCAGAAACAAAAGUGAUCCUUCACCAAAGGUGGCUUGAGAAGCACAGAGGCCUCAUCAGUAGCCUAAGAACAAUGAACGGAAGAGACAUAUGCGGCCCAAUAACAGGAAAUACACUCUGGGACUUCCCUGGUGGUGCAAUGGUUAAG